UACGUAGGGGGCUAGCGUUGCUCGGAAUCACUGGGCGUAAAGGGUGCGUAGGCGGGUCUUUAAGUCUGGGGUGAAAUCCUGGAGCUCAACUCCAGAACUGCCUUUGAUACUGAGGAUCUUGAGUUCGGGAGAGGUGAGUGGAACUGCGAGUGUAGAGGUGAAAUUCGUAGAUAUUCGCAAGAACACCAGUGGCGAAGGCGGCUCACUGGCCCGAUACUGACGCUGAGGCACGAAAGCGUGGGGAGCAAACAGG
rnacentral:rRNA from 1 species